GGUGAACCUUGUAAAGUGCUCACUCUUUGAAGAUCUGGGCAGUUUCCAGCCAAACUUCUGGAGAGCGGCAGGAUCAGCAGCCCCUGUCACUGGGAACCUGACAUAAUGAUAAGAGAAGCAGCUGCGAGGGAUCUUAACAGGGCUGUCAUAACAAAUUACCAUAAAUUGGGUGGCUUAAAACAACAGAAAAUUUAUUCUCUCACAGUUCAAGAGGCCAGGAGUCCAAAGUCAAGGUAUGGGCAGAAUUGGUUUCUUCUGGAAGCUCUGAGGGAGAAAACAUCCUAUGCCUUUCUCCUGGUUUCGGGUGGUUCAGGAUCCUUACCAUAAGGAUUUGCUUGUAGACACAUCACCCUAGUCUCUGCCUUGGCCUUCACAUCUCCUUCUUCUCUUUGUUUCUGUGUGUCUUCUUUUCUCACAUAGACACCAGUCACUGGAUUUAGGGCACCCUCUAAAUCCAAGUGUGUUCACCUUGAGACCCUUGACUAAUUACAUCUGGAAAGAUCCGGUUGUCUAAGGUCAUAUGCUGAGGUUCCAGGUAGAAAUGAAUUUGGAGGAGAUACUACUCCACCUGUGACACCAUCCUUUACUAUUCUUUUGCAAAUGUCAUCUCUAUUAUACAGCAAAUGUCCAUAUAAGUGUGGGUAGAAUAGUCAUCUUAUCAUGCAAACUUCUGAUGAAAUGGUUAUACAUGUCACAAGAUCAUCUUAUUAAUCCUCACAACAGUUCUAUGAGGUAAGUACUAUGAAAAUCACAUUAUUGUUGUGAUAACAAACAACACCAAAUCUCAUUGUCUUUUAACAAAAAAUUUUUCUCCCUCAGAUUACACAUCAGCAGCUGUGGGGCAGCUGUGGGUUGGCUGAGGCUCUGCUCUCUGUGUUGAAGGCUGUAGGCACAGGUGAUGCCAUUCCAGUGGCAGAGAUAAAAGAGUUUGAUUUUAGAUUAAAACAUGCUAUAGUUCUUCAGGUUUCUGCUUAGGACUGGCCUAUAGUCUCUCCAACUCAAAUUCCAUUGGCCAAAAGGAGUCAUGUGAUCAAGUCUGACCUCGGCCUGGGGAAGUGUACUCCUUCCUUUGGAGUCACAUGGCAACUGGCUAGAAUGUGUAAUCUUACUGGGAAGUGGGAGAGCAAAUAAUCUGAGACAAUGAUAUCUCUCCCACAG
ensembl:lncRNA